AGCGAACGCUGGCGGCAGGCCUAAUACAUGCAAGUCGAGCGCACCUUCGGGUGAGCGGCGGACGGGUGAGUAACGCGUGGGAACGUGCCCUUUGGUACGGGAUAACUGAGGGAAACUUCAGCUAAUACCGUAUGUGCCCUACGGGGGAAAGAUUUAUCGCCAUUGGAGCGGCCCGCGUUGGAUUAGGUAGUUGGUGAGGUAAAGGCUCACCAAGCCUACGAUCCAUAGCUGGUCUGAGAGGAUGAUCAGCACACUGGGACUGAGACACGGCCCAGACUCCUACGGGAGGCAGCAGUUGGGAAUCUUGCGCAAUGGGCGAAAGCCUGACGCAGCCAUGCCGCGUGAAUGAUGAAGGUCUUAGGAUUGUAAAAUUCUUUCACCGGGGAAGAUAAUGACGGUACCCGGAGAAGAAGCCCCGGCUAACUUCGUGCCAGCCGCCGCAGUAACAC
rnacentral:rRNA from 1 species